GAGAUAUAACUGCAACAGUUUGAAAUAUGAUUUUAAAGACAAGUCAAUAAGGAAGGUGUCAGUGAAGCUAGCUGUACCUUCUUACGGUGCCGCCAUAUCAGAGGGAAACACCAUGUUCACGAUGGCACAAAACAACAAAGCUGUACAACAACAUACACUGCCCAGUCUAGAGGAACUACCUAAGGACUUACGUAAGUUCCGCCUGGAACCUGUAUCAGAAUUUCAAGGUCAUCAGCUGCCCGGAGGAAGAGUGCUGUUGUCACCACAUCACAAAUGGCUGGCUACUUACGGUGCUGAUGGUUCUGUGCUCCUUAGAACUAUUGGACAAAUGG
rnacentral:lncRNA from 1 species